AACCCGAGAGAGUCGGGCCGUUCCCCGUUCGGGGGACAGGGUGACAGGUGGUGCAUGGUUGUCGUCAGCUCGUGUCGUGAGAUGUUGGGUUAAGUCCCGCAACGAGCGCAACCCUCGACCUUAGUUGCCAGCAUUCAGUUGGGCACUCUAAGGUGACUGCCGGCUAAAAGUCGGAGGAAGGUGGGGAUGACGUCAAAUCAUCAUGCCCCUUAUGACCUGGGCUACACACGUGCUACAAUGCCCACUACAAAGCGAUGCCACCCGGCAACGGGGAGCUAAUCGCAAAAAGGUGGGCCCAGUUCGGAUUGGGGUCUGCAACCCGACCCCAUGAAGCCGGAAUCGCUAGUAAUCGCGGAUCAGCCAUGCCGCGGUGAAUACGCUCCCGGGCCUU
rnacentral:rRNA from 1 species